GUCAUAGGCCAUCUGUUGCUCCCUGCUCCCAGACUCUUCCCUAAUGCCCACAUCCCCUCACCUGGUCAUCAAGAGGCUCAGUAGGAGGGCAGAAAAGUGAGACUUAAAGGUGAACAGACCUGGGCUUGAGUCCUAGGUCUAACGGAAUGGCCACAAAGAGUCAGGCAACAGCCUCAUGUUGCUCGUGUCUGAAAUGUAAACAUUAUCACCUACCAUGCCUCCCUUGCAGGAACCUUGCAAGGUUCUCGUGGGACCGUGCGAGUGAAAGUGUCUUGGAGACUGUCACAGGCCAUACCAAGAUUCUGUGGAUCCGGAAUUUGGACAGAGAACAGAGAGGAUGACUUAUGUCUGCGCUACAACGUCUGGGGCCUCAAUAGAAAAGACUCAAAGGCUGGGGUGACUCGACAGCUAGGGUUUAGAAUCAUGUGAAUGCUUGUUCACUCAUAUAUCUGGCAUCUGAUACAGACUAGGACUGCAGACCCACGGUCUACAUGUGGCCUCUCCGUGUGGCUUGGCUUCCCCACAGCAAGGCAGCCACAGGAUAGUCAGACUUCUUCCUUGGUUACAGAACCCAAAAGCAUUGUCCCAGCAAACAAGACAGAGCAGCAGUGGCUUUUGUGACCCAGCUUCAGAAGUGGCACAGCAUCACUUCUCUCCUACUUUACACUGGUCAAAGUAGCCUCAAGUCUGUGAGGAGGAGGGAUGAGACUCUGUCUCUUAAUGGGAAAGGAAUCAAAGAAUUUUGAGGGUAUGUUCUGUCACAUUGCCCGAGACAUAGUCUCAGCGUUGAGCUAUUCUUCCUAAGCCUGUUACCAGCUGCCUGUUGAAACAAUUGAUUGUCUCCUUAAUGUUCCUCUGUUGACCUGUGAAUGUCUUGCUGCAUCUCCCCCUACCCCUAACUAUCUGAAUUCUCAGCUGCUCCACUAUAUAUCAAGAAGUCUUCACUUGAUAUAAGAUCCUGACUCCCGAAAUGGAGUACACAGGAUCUCCCUCUGUACAGCAGGGCUUCUAAAUCUGUCAACAGCCCCUCCUCCAUGAUGGAUGGUCCAUCUCCAGUUUACAACCUGGUCCCUGUUAAUCCUCUGUAACUUCUUGUCAGGACUCCUUAAAGGGAUGAAAUAUUUUUCUGAACGUUGAAAACUCUGCAAACACACAAGAGAGGAGUUAUUAAACAAGCUCACAGUGGCUUCUUCACAAUACCAUUUGAUUGAAAAUAGUUGGACAAGGAAAAUUAAUCCCAGACUGAACUGAGGACUCAUUUUCCAAAAUGGGAAGAAAUGCUUCUCCUUCCACCAUCAAAGCCCCUCAAAAUGCCACCAAGAUUGUUGAAUAACACUGACUUGAGACAGGAAACCAAACGACUGGAAAUCCAGCUGCCCCUGGUUUAUUCAUAUUUACGCCUACAGAUUCACCCUUCGGCCUGGGCAAGCUUGACUCAAGAGAAGAGUUUCAUGCGCCUGAGCACCUAGCACCGGAUUUUAGAAGCUUCACGUUGCACUGACUGACAAGAAUUUCUGUUGGAGCAAACCUAAGGGUGUCCAUGGAAUUGUGUGAAAUAGUGGGACAGAAAGAGGCAGGGACCACAUCCCAGAGGGAGAUCAAAUGAAGCAAAACAAAGGAAGAGAAGAACUAGACCCAAACCCAGACCCCACACACAGCCUAGGACACGGCUCGGGUUGUCUGGAAGCAGUUCCCAGACAGAAACCUCAGUGUGAUGAAUCAGUUUCCUUGGACAUAGAGGGGAUAAAGAGUCUGCUGUAGAGACAGAGCAUAUUUAUUCAAGGAAUGGCUGUGAGAAUCGGGUAUGGGCAGAGGUGGGGGUGGAGUAUGUGGUGGCAAAAAGCCACCAUGAAUCCCCAGUCUAGACACUGAGCCCAUAAUGCCCAGGGAGAAGCAAACGAUCUAAAAGAGAAGGCAUGCUGGGGAGAAGCCAGUUGAGCCUGGCUCUGAAAUGACUGGUUGUGAUACCAGAGUCAGAUACUGCAGACGAGUCUUUGAAAAUCACAGAGAGGAGAAAAUAGAGAUGAUUUUAAGAUAAAUGUUAAUAGAAGCCCAAGUCUUCUCUCUUAUAAAUCAAAUUCCAUUGUAAACAAUGCCAUAAAAAAUGUCUACACC
ensembl:lncRNA